AUCUUGGGAGCCCUUGUUGCUAUAACGACCAACUGUAGGGAGAGGAGGAGAUCCACUCAGAGGAGGGAGGGCCAUGCUCCUGCCAAGCCUCCACAAGUCACUGCUCCCUGGUAACCAGCAGGUUCAGCGUACCUGGUGAUGUAGAGGUCUUUGAUCCAGUUGGAGCUGACUUUUGAGGGUGCUGUACACAGUUGUUCCACACAUGGGAAGCAGGAGGCCGGAAGCCUCUGGACGAAGCCCGGAAAGCUUUUCAGGCUGGGAGCCUGAGUCCCUCCAGCCACCAGCUUCGGUGGGAACAGCAGCAGCUCCGACUGGCUUCUCCUUCAGCUCUGCAUUCUGGUUGGUUGUCUCUGCCCAUCAGCGGCCAGCUCCAGGCCUGGUCCCACCCCAUCUGCCGCACUGUCACCCGGGAUUGGAUGAGCUCCGCAAGGCGAGGCUGCCUUGCCUCUCGCCAUCAGAUUCUUCAUUAAACAAAUGAAUCACAAUCCUAA